CAGAGGGUGCAAGCGUUAAUCGGAGUUACUGGGCGUAAAGGGCGCGUAGGCGGUUGUAUAAGUGAGAUGUGAAAGCCCUGGGCUUAACCUAGGAACAGCAUCUUAUACUGUAUGACUGGAGUACUGUAGAGGGUAGUGGAAUUUCCGGUGUAGCGGUGAAAUGCGUAGAGAUCGGAAGGAACACCAGUGGCGAAGGCGGCUACCUGGACAGAUACUGACGCUGAGGCGCGAGAGCGUGGGGAGCAAACAGGAUUAGAUACCCUGGUAGUCCACGCUGUAAACGAUGAGAACUAGAUGUUGGUCAGCUUGACUGAUUAGUAUCGAAGCUAACGCGAUAAGUUCUCCGCCUGGGGAGUACGGCCGCAAGGUUA
rnacentral:rRNA from 1 species